GUGGCUAUAGCUCAGUUGGUAGAGCGCCGGAUUGUGAUUCCGGCUGUCGCCGGUUCAAGUCCGGUUAGCCACCCCA
rnacentral:tRNA from 1 species